AUUGAACGCUGGCGGCAUGCCUUACACAUGCAAGUCGAACGGCAGCACGGGGGCAACCCUGGUGGCGGGUGGCGAACGGGUGAGUAACAUAUCGGAACAUACCCUAGAGUGGGGGAUAACGUAGCGAAAGUUACGCUAAUACCGCAUACGAUCUAAGGAUGAAAGUGGGGGAUCUUCGGACCUCAUGCUCAUGGAGUGGCCGAUAUCUGAUUAGCUAGUUGGUGAGGUAAAGGCUCACCAAGGCGACGAUCAGUAGCUGGUUUGAGAGAACGACCAGCCACACUGGAACUGAGACACGGUCCAGACUCCUACGGGAGGCAGCAGUGGGGAAUUUUGGACAAUGGGGGCAACCCUGAUCCAGCAAUGCCGCGUGAGUGAAGAAGGCCUC
rnacentral:rRNA from 1 species